rnacentral:misc_RNA from 1 species
GAUGAAGAACGUAGCGAAAUGCGAUAGUAAUGUGAAUUGCAGAAUUCAGUGAAUCAUCGAAUCUUUGAACGCACAUUGCGCCCGCUAGUAUUCUGGCGGGCAUGCCUGUCCGAGCGUCAUUUCAACCCUCAAGCCCCCGGGCUUGGUGUUGGGGAUCGGCGAGCCUCCGCGCCCGCCGUCCCCUAAAUCUAGUGGCGGUCUCGCUGUAGCUUCCUCUGCGUAGUAGCACACCUCGCACUGGGAAACAGCGCGGCCACGCCGUUAAACCCCCAACUUCUGAACGUUUGACCUCGGAUCAGGUAGGAAUACCCGCUGAACUUAAGCAUAUCAAUAAGCGGAGGA